rnacentral:lncRNA from 1 species
UUUUGAAACUCCAUUAUGCUUAUUUUCACCCAAAGCCUUAUACUUUUCUUUUAUGAUUAAAAUUAUUCCUCUGAAUUCAGUAAAAAUACAUUUUUUUGUAUAAAAGUAGUUCUCAAUUCACAUCUCGUUCAGUCUCUUCUCCCAAUGUUUUGCAUCCAGAGAUGUGACGGGUCCAUUACUGUAAAGUUCAUUGAGUGAAAAUUUAAGAUUUCUUAAAAUAAUAGAUUUAAGAUUGGUGUUGUGCUAAGCACUGUGUAGUGAAUUUCAUAAUCCUGGUACCAGAUUCCUAAAUGCUUACAAACAAAAAAUGCUAUCACACAUGUGCAUGAAUGUUGCCAUACACUUCGCACAACAGAACCAAAAGCCAACAAAUAAAUAAUGCACACACAGGCACAUACAAUUACAUCACAAUCAAGCUAAUUACAUUUUGGGGUGGAAGAUGAGGGUAGGUAAGCAGUUAGGAUAGAAACAAAAAACCAACCUUUAAUAUUUUGUUUUCAGACUAGAGAAGGGUGAGAGGAAAGAGUUACCCUGUGAAGAUGGUAUCUUCAUAAAAGAAGCUGAGUUUCAACAAUUGGGAAGGAUGACUUUAAGGCUGUGGUGAAUGGAAGGAGGAUGGGUGGAGGGCCAGAGUUCCAAGAACACAAGGUUGCUAUACCCAGCAGCCCAGUAUUCUGACAGAGAAUAUAAAAGAUUUUCUCACUGUGAUACUGAUUGCAACCAUAGUUAACUUUCUAAUAAUCCAUUUUGAAAUUUGCCUAUCUCUAUACCAUUGGAGUCAUUCUUUUUUUAAAAAAUAUAUAUAUAUAUAUAUAUAUUUAUUUAUUUAUUCAGUUGUAGUUGGACACAAUAUCUUUAUUUUAUUUAUUUAUGUGGUGCUGAGGAUUGAACCCAG